AAGGGGUUCUUGUUGGGAGUUUAUUGUAAUUAUUUUUAAAAACCGGUGUUUUCCACCUGGAAGAAACAAACUAGAGGGGCCGGCUAAUGAGGGAACUUAGGUUUGCAAAACACCAUAAAUAAUUCAUUAUUGUAUUUCAAGGGAAAAAAAUAGCUUUCUUAAAUCAUCCCUGUAAUAUAAAUGGCAGACUUACAGUAUGGUCCUGGUAAGUCUAAAUUUUUAAAGGAGCAAUAUUCAAAGAGACAUAGAUGUCUGUAUUAAUUAUUUAUUCGCCGGUGCCUUCCUUCGUUUCUGACUUAUUAUUAAUUAGGCGCCUCUAGUCUUUCACAGAGCGCUCCACUGAGCCGGUUACAGCUUUAAAUAUGAAUUAAAAGCAAAUCCAAGCUACUGUAAUGCGAAAAUUAUUCCGUGUCUUGCAUGGCAGAGAUGAAUAGCCGCGCGGAUCAAUACCGUGAAACUCGGCUCCCAACGACAAGGUUAUUGAUAGUUCAUAGUAAUGACAUUAAUGAUGGAAAAAGGGAACAACCACCCACCCGCCAUGGAAACUUUUUAAGCCACUGAAACCCCGCAAUAAAAACGGGAAGGGGGCAGGAAUUGGGCUUAAGUGUAAGAAGAAAAUUAUUUAUGAAACCCGGAUAAAUGACUUCGGAACCUUGAUGCAUUUGAACCUAACGCUCUUGGCUUCUGGCGGCCCUGGCUCCAGCUGGGGAGACCGCGAAAACCCCAAGCCAUGGAGGGCUGGGGGGGCCGGAUAAGCUACAGCAGUCUCAGCCUCCGGUGUGCUGCUUGGAGAACCUCUGCUCGGUUCUCCGCUGGGAGAGCCCUCUGGAGGCGCCGAAGGCAGAAGAUUCUGGAAGUGGGCGAAGGAGACCGACGCGUGAAGCUGGGCCCCAGUGUCCAGGAGGGGACAGGAGGCCGCACCUCUGCGGCCAGUACUUCAGCCUAGGUUUUUCCUCUGGUUAGCUUGGCACUGGUCCCCUAAGCGGGGUCAAACGCUGCGGCCUCCUGGGGACCAGGGGGUGCUGGACACAUCUGUAGCGCGCAGCUCACCCGGGACCUAGGGAUGGGAUAGCUGUUCGAGACCCCUCAGGCAGCCUAGGCUGCGCAACCUUUGCUUCCUACUGCACCCCAGGGCUGCUCUGCGAUGCUGAGAACUCUAGGCAUACAGAGCAGGCAGGCUCAGGUCUUCACCCACAUCGGGUCCUCUGCGGCCACUGAGGCUGCCAGCCCCGGCAUCGACCUCCCUGUCCCCUAGCUGAGGCCACAGCUAGGGGGAAGGCAGGCAGCGGGGGAUACGAAAGGUUACAUCCUGACCCUGGGAGGCUGCUAGAAAGGUCAGAGCCCAAGGGACAGUUGCAAACUCGUGGUCCCCUCCUCCCCUCUGCAAGGAGCUCAGUCGCCCGGUCCCCUCCUCCCCACCCCACAGCACGAGGACAGGCCUCUGAGGGCAGAGGUCGUGGUGACCCUGACAGCCACGGGAAGGGCUGCCCAGCCGCUGCGGGUUGCUGAGGGUAGUCAGGCAGGCUGGCGAUUCUGGUGCAUCCUGGCUUAAGUGUUUUGGGUUAGAGCGGGAAGUUGCGACUUUUGCUCUGGCGCCGAAAGGGGCAAGAGGACGUCCGGUGCUGGGGGCAGGUGGGUCGAUCAUAGUUUUCUUCAGAAAUAGGGAUGAUAUAUUUUUGUCUAUUUGGUCUCUUAAUACACUCUCCCUUCUUUCCUCCUUCUCUCCCUUUCCCCGUUUCCUUUCCAACACAAUCUUUCAUUCUUUUCAUCCUACAUCCUCUCUUCCAGUUUUUUUCCUCCAUCCUUCCCUCCUUUUUCUCUCUCCUACCUCCAGUCUUGUUUCUUGCUCCUAGCUUCCUGCACUCCUCCACCUCCUUCGGCGGCGUCUGUACCCCUUGGCGGUCAAAGUAAAAGGUAUCAGUCAUUUUGAGCACCAAUACCAAGGAAUCCCUUCCCCCCCCCCUUUUUGAAGGAGGGGCAGGUGAGCAAAGGGCCUACCUGCGCUUCCGUGGUCCCUUGCUGUUGCCUGACCCCCUUGACGUUUCUCAGCUAGAUUUUUACUACUGCCAAGGUUCGUCUGGCUGGAGCUCAGGCUUGCCAUCAUUUGGGAAGAGUUUCUAGGGCCUCGUAGCCUCAUGCUGACGCCAGACUUCAGCAAGACUUCUGCGUGCUUGUUUUUAUUUUACUUUAUUUUAUUAAUUAAAGGGGAAAAUCGAAAUGAAUCUCAGAGGCUCUAACUACUAAAAUCACCACCUGAGCCUUAGCUCUAUUUCAGGACAUAAGGGUGGCUAAGUUGAAACCCGUCUUGCGAUAGUUAGACCAAACCCAAACUUCCUGCUUUGGAGAAAAAUCUCUUUUGAGGUCCACUAUGAAGUUUGUGUUUCAGAGUAGCAACACCCCCUAUUGGAUCCACGGGCCCCAUUCCCACAGGGUAAACAGAGAAUGAGUCUUUUCAGAAAGGAAACACAACAGACUGC
rnacentral:lncRNA from 1 species